UGUUUAUAUAUUGUACAUAUAUGUGCAUUAAGGUUAUCAUUGGUUUCAUCUUAAGAAAAAUAUCUUAAUAUCUUAACAAUUUUUCAAACCGAUCAUAUGGAGAAAUGAUAUUCGUCUCCAUUUUGGAUGAAAUCACAAAAUGUC